UCUCAGCUCACAUUUCACAUUGUGGUGGGAAACGCAAGAAGGUUAGGAUUCCUACGUUUCAAGAAGCCAAGAUGGAGACAUCUUCACGAUGACCACUGUGCAGUAGCACAACUGAACCAGGACUGGAAACCUGCCCCAUCAUCUCAUCCUUGCAGAUCUCCAUUAAAAACGUAACAGUGACUCAGAGGAGUUGCCCUCAGAUUCAGACCUCAGCAUCACCCAGUGACAACAGACUAUCAUCUUAUAUGUUCACUCUUUGUAGUAACUCCAAAAUUAAACGAUGAAAACGGUGCAAAGGCUAAAUUACUAUAU